rnacentral:lncRNA from 1 species
AGCGGCUGCACGGCCACGACGGACAAGCAACAACGCGAAGCAGGGGCAGGUGGUGGUAAGAAUAAGUAUCACUUGUCAUGUUUAACUCAUGGCCAACAAAGAGUAAGUAUCAGUUGAAACUGACUACAUGAAGAAUACUGCUGUGACGAUUAUAUACAUAUAUGUUCCACUUGGUUGCUCAGGUAGUAUUAAUUUCUAAUUUCUUAUCACUUCCUUUUCUUGCAGUCAAGUUUUGAAACUGGGCUUUGAUGAGAAGUUCAUUCGUAUAUGGGAAUUCUAUCUUGUAUACUCUGCCUCUGGUUUGAAGUCAUGAGUAGCUAGAGAUUACCUGGUACGGAUGCAUAUAUGUGUGCUCUUUGUAUAGGUUUACCUGCAUUAUUCCUAUUUCCUAAACAAAUGUAAGUCAUAUACUCACUCUGCCCUCUGGUCUUCAAAAAACAUCUUUCUGGAAACUGUUUGGUGGUUUCCAAUGCAGACUAUAAAAUUUAAGUUGAUGUUGCUUUCUACAAUUAUGUUAAUCUCAGCCAUAAGAUUCUGAGAUCAGUCGACAACAGAUCUUUGAGUAAAAAGUAGUAAAUUAGAACCUUUGGUGAACUUGCAGAAAACAAGCUUUCAUCGUUUGAGAUUGUAAAUG